rnacentral:rRNA from 1 species
UGCCGUCUACUCUUGGACAGCCUUCUGAAAGGAAGAUUAAUACAAGAUGGCAUCAUGAGUCCGCAUGUUCACAUGAUUAAAGGUAUUCCGGUAGACGAUGGGGAUGCGUUCCAUUAGAUAGUAGGCGGGGUAACGGCCCACCUAGUCUUCGAUGGAUAGGGGUUCUGAGAGGAAGGUCCCCCACAUUGGAACUGAGACACGGUCCAAACUCCUACGGGAGGCAGCAGUGAGGAAUAUUGGUCAAUGGGCGAGAGCCUGAACCAGCCAAGUAGCGUGAAGGAUGACUGCCCUAUGGGUUGUAAACUUCUUUUAUAAAGGAAUAAAGUCGGGUAUGGAUACCCGUUUGCAUGUACUUUAUGAAUAAGGAUCGGCUAACUCCGUGCCAGCAGCCGCGGUAAUACGGAGGAUCCGAGCGUUAUCCGGAUUUAUUGGGUUUAAAGGGAGCGUAGAUGGAUGUUUAAGUCAGUUGUGAAAGUUUGCGGCUCAACCGUAAAAUUGCAGUUGAUACUGGAUAUCUUGAGUGCAGUUGAGGCAGGCGGAAUUCGUGGUGUAGCGGUGAAAUGCUUAGAUAUCACGAAGAACUCCGAUUGCGAAGGCAGCCUGCUAAGCUGCAACUGACAUUGAGGCUCGAAAGUGUGGGUAUCAAACAGGAUUAGAUACCCUGGUAGUCCACACGGUAAACGAUGAAUACUCGCUGUUUGCGAUAUACUGCAAGCGGCCAAG